rnacentral:tRNA from 1 species
GCAUUGGUGGUUCAGUGGUAGAAUGCUCGCCUGCCACGCGGGAGACCCGGGUCCGAUUCCCGGCCAUUUCA